rnacentral:rRNA from 1 species
AGUGGCGGACGGGUGAGUAACACGUGAGCAAUCUGUCCCUGUGUGGGGGACAACCCGGGGAAACCCGGGCUAAUACCGCAUGGGCAGGCGUUUCAUAUGGGAUGCCUGGGAAAGAGGCCCUCUUUACAAUGGUCUCAUGCAGGGAGGAGCUCGCGGGCUAUCAGCUAGUUGGUAGUGGUAACGGCCUACCAAGGCGACGACGGCUACGGGGUCUGAGAGGACGACCCCGCACAUUGGAACUGAGACACGGUCCAGACUCCUACGGGAGGCAGCAGUGGGGAAUUUUGGGCAAUGGCCGCAAGGCUGACCCAGCGACGCCGCGUGUGGGAUGACGCCUCUCGGGGUGUAAACCACUGUCAGAGGGGAAGAAUAGCGCAGGUGCGAAUAGUGUCUGCGUGUGACGGUACCCUCAAAGGAAGCACCGGCUAACUCCGUGCCAGCAGCCGCGGUAAUACGGAGGGUGCAAGCGUUGUUCGGAUUUACUGGGCGUAAAGCGCGCGCAGGUGGAUGAACAAGUCGGAAGUGAAAUCUCGAGGCUCAACCUCGAGGCUGCUCCCGAAACUGUUUGUCUGGGGACUGGUAGAGGCUGGUAGAAUUCCCGGUGUAGCGGUGGAAUGCGUAGAGAUCGGGAAGAAUACCCGUGGCGAAGGCGGCCAGCUGGGCCAGAUCCGACACUGAGGCGCGAAAGCGUGGGGAGCAAACAGGAUUAGAUACCCUGGUAGUCCACGCCCU